GUUUUUUUCAGGGUUGGAGCUAAACUCUGCAGGACCGACGUUGCCCACCCCUGCUCUAUAGAGUGAUAGUCAGUGUAAAAAGAGUGAAGGGAGAAGCAGAUGAACACAAACAGCAGAACAACAUAAAGUUAAAGAGGUGCAGGAAAAGCAGUGUGUCCCAGCAGUCAUGUGAUAUCCCACAAUGCACCUCAGAAAUGGCCCGCUAAAGUCGAGCUGGCCCCUUGUGAUUUCAGCACUCAAUCGUUCACAGUGGAACUGCAUAAACUACUGCAGCCAUAAAGAACGAUUUCAUGCAGCCGAGUUAAGACAACCUCUGCUGUGAUGCUGUGUCCGGCGGGCUGAGCGGACAGUCAUUGGCAGACUUGGCAUUAGCAUAUACAGUAAUAUUAGGGGCCCGGAGACGCCCCAAGCGUAGCCCGAGGUGGAUUCAGCUGGCGUCCGUACCGAGGGGACCAGAUCCUAUCAUCAGGAACAGACAUGUGGGGCAUUUCCUGCAGUCCCGAGGAUGGACAUGUGCCGAGAAAAACCCUUGAAAAUGAAGAUGGACGCGGGUCUGACAGUAACAGGUUGACUAGUGGUGUCUUCAGAUGUUGGAAAUGUAGAGUUCAGCCAAAAAUGAACUCACCUGUUGUUUUUAACCUGUAUGUUUGGUUUUUGUUUUUUGUUUGGUAGAACACAAAAUAAGACAUUUCUGUGCAGUUUUUUCAUAUAAUGGACUGUGCAAUCAAAUCUUGUUCAAAGUGGUGCGGCGCAUUCACUCGAGAACCAAUGACGUCAAACUUCAUGCAAUGCUUCAAUAAUAAUAUAUAUGUAGCUAUAUGUUGUAAUUUUACAUAAAUUUUAGAAGCUUAAAACUGUCGCACUAUUAUUAUUAUUAUUAUUACGGAUGUAAUCAAAA